rnacentral:lncRNA from 1 species
UGGUUACGGGUAAUAGCCACAAAUAGAACCGAUUCAUUCUUGAACGUUCUGUAACUUUUAUGAUGUCGUUGAAGCAGAUUUGUGGUCGCUUUGGGUCAUGUGUUUGAUUAGGGCGAACAAGAUAUCUGUUAACCGAGAACCAAAAAACAACAACAGCAAAAAAUCUGUAUUUCUGAACAUGUACACAUUUUCUUUGCAUGACCUUUUCUAUCGACAUGCCAUGGCUUGAGCCAUCACAAUGGCAAACUUGUUAGAAAAUGUCAUAUGACAGCAAUAAAAGCCACCAUAAUGCUGAAUACGGUAAGAAAGAUAAUGUGACAACAUGAAAAAUGUAUGUCAAACUACAAUAUUCUCUUUAAAUUGAUUAUAAUUCUAGAAAAAAAUUCUUAAAUUAAUCCAUUUCUUACCUUGAAUGUGUCUUUCCAACCACAUGCCAUGGUUUGAGCCAUCACUAAUACACACGUGGUAAGAAAUGUCAUGUGUCAACAUCAAAAACCUGUAUUAGCUACCUGUAUAGUGUUAAAGUGCAGUAAGAAUCACUGUUUUUCUGAACAUGUUCUAUUUUUUUCUUUGCAUGAUUUUUUCCAACAUGCCAGGGUUUGAUCUGCUACAAUGAUGUGGUAAUGUAGAUCAUCUGACAGCAAUAUAAAGCAAGUCCAAUCUGAUUUUUUAAAUAUGAAAACAUCACAGAACUGUUACUUGUUUUAAGUGCAAAUUCACUGUAUUUCUGAACACAUUCUUCUGUUUCUUUGCACGACUCUUCCCAACUGCAUGGCACUGUUUGAGCUUUCACACUGGCAAACACGGUAAUACCUAAAAAUAAAAAAUAAUUAUG